CUAUGGUGCUUCAUCGAUGAGAUAAGGA
rnacentral:piRNA from 1 species